rnacentral:rRNA from 1 species
UAAUACAGAGGGGGCAAGCGUUGUCCGGAUUGACUGGGCGUAAAGCGCACGCAGGUGGCGCGCAACGUGGGAUGUGAAAGCGGGCGGCUCAACCGCCCGAGGCCAUGCCAAACGAGCGUGCUAGAGCCAUGUAGAGGGUGGUGGAAUUGCCGGUGUAGUGGUGAAAUGCGUAGAGAUCGGCAGGAACACCAAGGGGGAAGCCAGCCACCUGGGCAUGGGCUGACACUCAAGUGCGAAAGCGUGGGGAGCGAACUGGAUUAGAUACCCAGGUAGUCCACGCUCUAAACGAUGGACGCUCGGCAUCCGUGCCCUAUCAAGGGGCGGGGGUGCCUUAGGUAACCCGGUAAGCGUCCCGCCUGGGAACUACGAGCGCAAGCUUA